GGAUCCAGACUUUGAUCAUGGCUCAGGAUGAACGCUAGCGGCAGGCUUAACACAUGCAAGUCGAGGGGCAGCGCGGGGCGGCAACGUCCUGGCGGCGACCGGCGGAAGGGUGCGUAACGCGUGAGCGACAUGCCCGUUGCCCGGGGACAACCGGUGGAAACGCCGACUAAUCCCCGAUGGGACGGAGGCCCUCAUGGGUCUCUGUUGAAAGUUACGGCGGCGACGGAUUGGCUCGCGUCCGAUUAGCUUGUUGGCGGGGUAACGGCCCACCAAGGCUACGAUCGGUAGGGGUUCUGAGAGGAAGGUCCCCCACAAUGGAACUGAGACACGGUCCAUACUCCUACGGGAGGCAGCAGUGAGGAAUAUUGGUCAAUGGGCGGAAGCCUGAACCAGCCAUGCCGCGUGCGGGAAGGAGGCCCUAUGGGCUGUGAACCGCUUUUGCCUGGGGGCAAUAAGGGCGUCGUGCACGUCCGAUGAGAGUACCAGGCGAAUAAGCAUCGGCUAACUCCGUGCCAGCAGCCGCGGUAAUACGGGGGAUGCGAGCGUUAUCCGGAUUCAUUGGGUUUAAAGGGUGCGUAGGCUGUGCGUCAAGUCAGGGGUGAAAUUCCGGGGCUCAACUCCGGGGCUGCCCUUGAUACUGUCGCGCUGGAGUGCGGAUGCCGC
rnacentral:rRNA from 1 species